CGCCCCAGUACACGAGUAUACAGUGGGUGCGCUCGCGUGUGUACGUGCGUGCGUGUGCGUACGGCGCGGGAGUGUGUGUGUGUGUGUGUGUGUGUGCGUGCGCGCGUGUCAUUAUAACACGAAAAGCGAUUCUCGUCCAUUCAUGCAAAAACAUUUUACCGUCACGAAUAUCGCCGUCGCCGCCCGGAUGGAGUAGCGUAGCCUACUGCUAUACGGCGUGUCCAGGCGAACAUGAGCGAUCCCGGGGGAUAGACGUGAUGACGCCGCCGGGUACGCCACCCAAAACGAAAAGUACAGGUAAUACCCGAAUUUUUAUUUAUUGUAUGUAUAUACUUAAAUAUUUGUUAUUGAUAAUAAUAUUAAUAUUAUCUAUACGUAUUGUCUUUUUUCGUCAAAAAAAAAUUGUCGAGUACUUGUCUAGGAACAGACACAGCUGGGGGGCUUGGGGGCUAAGUCCCUUCAGUUUUAUAAAUACCUACCCCCCAUAAUUAUAUUUUUGCUGACCCUAAAUAAUUAAUUGUCAACCCUCAGGUUGAGAAACUCGGCUCUAGUCGAUAGAAAAUUGAAGAUUUUGGUGAGAGGGAGCUGUAGGUGUGGGUUCCGAGGAUUUUAAUUAAUUAAAGAUAAUAGGAUAUACGAUUUUAUUGUUUAUUGAAGAAAAAUGUAUAUAAUGUACCAUUCACUGUACUUAUACAUGGGAGGACCAACCAAAGUCUAAAAGUGUCGAACGCAUGACAAAUAUUAUUAUUUUAUAAUGUGAAACGAAAAUAAAAUUAGACACCGAACUCCUCUUUCCCAAAUUGUACAUUUUAAUAAAUAGAAUAAAUGAGUAUUCUUUUUUGGAAAACUAUUGAAAACUGUAAUUAAAGAAAAAAAAAGCGUCCUUGGAUAAUAGAGACGAGUCAGCCACUGUCAUAAGUAAUUUAAUGUAUAUCUGUAAACAACGAUAAACUAUUACUAAUAAAAAAAACGAUUCUGAGCGGAGUUCAGUUGAUAGUGAUGCUUUGUCAAUAAUAUGGAUGUCACAUUAUGGUAAAAUAAUUUAAUAGGCAUUAUAUAUUUUCUUUAAUAAUAUUUGUUUAAUAUUGUACUGAUUAUCCCGUUUUCCCUGCGUUUUUCCCAGUUUUUUUCCCGGUUUUUCAUAUUUCUGAGAAAAUCGAAAAUGACCUCCUUAAAGUACCUUCCCAGUCAGAUUUACUUUCAGAAAAAGUACUAUCAUUGUAAAUCGGAGCAAAAUUGCUGGUAGAAAAGUUGUUCACAGGAAAAUUUAAUAGGGUCGAAAUAUUUUUCAAUUAAUAUAUACCUACAUUUCGUACAUUUUCCCGUUUUUCCAAGAUUUUAUUCCGAUUUCCCCCAGUACUUACUGAAUAAAAUUACGUAUAAAACUCGAAAAAUUAAAAUUUCAAUAUAUAGCUCAAAAAUGACUUGAAUAAUAUGCAAUUCAGAUUAUAUUAUUUUUCUGUUUAUUUGAAAUUGGAAACAAAAAAAAAAAUGUAUCCAUCUAUUAUAGGUAUACUCAGUGAUGUAUUUGGGGAGUUUCCUAACUCCUGGCAAUAUUUUUUCUCCACAAAUAUUAACAUAGCUUCAUUACGAAUUCAUUCCUGAUUAUAAUAUAACUUAAAACCUUAUAAGUGGUAAAUGGAGAGGAGUGGUAGAUUAUUAACAUGCCGUCCGCCAUACCACCACACCUGCUCUCCUCCGACCGAAACUUAAAAGUGGAAUAUCUCGUCAAUGACGCGACAGAAAUCAAAAAUGUCAACACUAAAAUUUAUUUCAACACUAAUACUCCUUCUAUUUAUGGACUUUUUAAUAUAGGUUACCGUUUGAAAAUAAAAAGUACGUAGUGGUUUUACCUCCAAAAAUAAGAGUGACAGAAAAUAACAUAAAUAUAAAAUUGUAGAGCAGCUUUUGUCUUAAAUUUUCUAGAAAACAAAUUCCAACAAAAAGUUAAUACUUACCGAUAUAAUAAAUAUGUACCAACUUAAAUAGAUCACUCGAUAUGUAGUUUGUUUUAAAAUCGUCUAUUCAACAUAAUCGUCCCUCAAAGUCGGACUUCGAAAUCCUCUAGAUAUUUUAUUGCUGCUGGACCAUAUUCAUGCAGCGCAAUUACACUUUCUUCGAAUUUCUUCUUUGGCACUCCUUCAUAAUAUGUCGCCUAGUUUUUAUGACCCCAUAUUCACAUAGUGGGAAGUUGAUCAUAUCUAAUUUAUGUAGGAAAUAGUUACACUUCCCUUGCUUCGUCCUUAUAUGGUUUAAGGCUUUCCGUUAUGCUCUAUUUUGGUAAAAUCUUGGGUUUUGCUAGCAGGGUUUUUAAUAGUGGAAUAAUUUCGGACGUAUACGUUUGUUAAUCUAUUUACCCACAUCUCCCCUAUUGUUUUAUUAAUUGAUUAUAUAGACUCAUAUAAGGUUACUAUGUCCUUUAAUAUCGGUAAGUCAGUGGACAAUGUCUUUGUUUUUAAUCUUUAACCGAUCAUAUAUAUGCAUGUUAACAUUGAAAUUUUAAUUUUGUUAGUAAUCUAUAUAUAGUUUCAUAGUUUGUAGAUAAAAAUGUCGGAGGAAAAAAUGUCCGGAGGUAAAAAUUCCCGAUGUCCGGCUUGUACACUUUAGGUAUAGCUAGAUAAUUAUAACAACCAAACCGAAGAAUGGAAUCUUUUGGUCAAUUUGAUCUUUAAAAGUAAUAAAAAUAUUACUUUUAAGACCAAAAUUAAGACAAUUAUUAUACCUAUUAAUAUUACUAUUGCGUAUGAAAAUUAUAUUCAAUUUAUUAUUUAUAUUUAUAAAUUAUAAUUAUAUAAGUAUUAUAUUUUACUUCCAGACAUUUUUCCUCACACAUUGUUUCCUCGGAUAUUCUGAUAGAACCCCAGUUUAAUAUUCACAAUUGUGUAUGGAAAAUUGACAUAUACUCGAAGGGAGGCGUACACUAUUUGGCCAUAUACUUCAAAUUUAUUGCAUUUGGUUACAUUUUGCAUGACAGUGAUGAUAUUCUAAAAUAAUGUUUAUGAUGUAUAGAUACAUUAUGAUAAUAUUAUUACAUGUAUGUAUGUUAUAAGAGUCGUUCGAUUAAAAAUGAAAAAAAAUCAACACUUAAAACGGGUUUUAAUAAUAAUAUAUGACGAAGACGGCUGAGUUUUUAAUAAUUUUCAGUAUUACACAUUAUAAAUUACAUUUCAGUUUUAGAUUCUGAGGUAGGUAUCGAAGUGAAAACUUAAAAAAAAACUUUUUUUGGUUAAAUAAAUGUUUGAAUUUUACUUUGUCACACCUUAAAUGAUGCUGAUCUUUUCGCUUUAUGGAACAUUAUUUGUACAAUAUUUUGAAAUUUCUAAUGCUUUUUCAAAAAAUGUUAUUUUAUUUUAUUUUUUUUUUUUGGUCAGAUAAAUGCUAUAAUUUUUAAUUCAAUUCCUCAAAAGAUAUGGAAUUCCACUUUUAAAUUCUUUUUGGUUUUUAUUGAUUUCUGAGAUUCAUUAGCAAAUAGGAGGAAAAAAACGCGAUUCUAAAUUACUUCGCUUAGAAUUGGUUUUCGUUUACAUUGAUUUAUUGCAUACAAUAUAUUAACUAAAUUACUUUGUGUAACCUAUCAUAAUUCUCAACUGCGGUAGCCUAAACGUAAGUAGUAUUAACUUUUUUAAAAUAUAUGUGUUUUUUUUUGAAAUAUUAAAAGAUUCCAACUCAUUUUUUUCAAUUUAGUUAUUUAUUUAUUUUUAUCAAUGUUUAUUUCCUGUGUAAACACACGAAUUAUUUUUUUUUUGUGAUAAAAAUGAUAACAUUUAAUUUUAAGGGAAAACAUAACCUUUCCCUUCAACAUCAAAUUUAGUCUUAUAAGGCUUAAAGCUAUUUUGAUAAUACCAGUUAUUUUUGUUUUGUGUAUAAUAUCCAUGUCCAAGAAACUAAAACUUGCCUUGUUCUCCUAAAUUAAUCAUUAAAGGUGUUUAAUUUAAUUUAAUUUAAAGGGUUAAUAAUAGGCUUUUAACUUAGAAUACUUAGAUUAUUAUUAUUAAUAUUAUGAUAUGAUUGUAUAAUUUGAUAUAGUUCAUACGUAUUAAAUAAAACACGGAAAUAUGCAAUAAACUAAAACACUCUAUAAAUAUUUAAAAAAAAAAAAUUUAUUUCUAAAAAAAUUUGAAAAAAAAUUACAGAUAAUUUUGUGACACAACUCUAAUAGAAGAGGUACUAUAGAUAUAAAGUACUUUUAGACUCUAGAAUCUAGAUAAAAUUCUAAUAAGAGGGAGUCCAUAAAAGUCCUCUAGUGCACUAGGGAUGUCCGUGCAUGGAAGUUACUGUGCUGUUAGGAUACUCAUCAUUACGUCUUAUUAAAUUUAUAAUAUAUUUAUCGAUAAUCAAAUUAUCGGCUCGGAAAAAUUGAUAAAUACAACACUUAUUGACUUAUAAGAUAUUUGAUAAGUAUCUGAAAUAAAUUUGACCAGUUUUUGUAAAUCCCUAAACAUUUUCGUAGACAUGAGACUUAUUUUAGGAAACCGGUAUUCUUUAUUUACCUACACUUGAUAAAUAUCGGAGCAGCCUGCUGAAAACCAGAAGUGUCCCGCCUAAACUGGGAUGAAUAGCAGCAAAAACAUGAAAUUUCUUCAAAUACGUAAUUUUCGUAUAUUAUAUUAUGCGGUGUUUAAUUUUUUAAAUUUUAUAGUUACCUGCCGGCUACCAUAUAUAUUUACUAUAUUCAUCAUCAUCUAUAUUAUAUACUAUAUUAUAUUAUAAUAUAUAUUACGCGUAUUAUAAUAUAGGACAUAGGUAGUUGGUUUGAAAGUUACGACUUUUUUAUAGGUCUUUAUUUCUAUUUUUAAAAUCACGUGAUAAUAGGUACAUCAUUAUAUAAUAUUAUCGAUAUUUAUACCUAACACGAUAAAUUUGUUGUAUUUUUUCGCCGUCGUCGUCGCGUCGCGUUGCAUUUCAUCGCAAAUCGUGCAAUUAUAUAAUACAACGAUAAUAAUCUAUAUACUACCGUAUUUAUAACAUAUAUUUACUGUCGUAGUUAAUAUCAACAAAUAUUAUGGAAACGCGCCGCGCAAUUACCGCAUCUCUAUGAAGAACUUACAACGAUAGUAUUAUUACAAUGCUACUUAUAUAGCUGAUAAUUUAUCAGACGAUAUAUUUGUAUAUGUCAUUAUAAUAUUACUAAUACCUACAGUUACGAUAGUAAAUAUACCAUAUAGUUAACACGAUAAUUUAAAAACACUACCUGUCAUCACUAUAUUAUGUAUUGGUCUGUGUCUAUGCAUCGUCGUCAGUAAGCGUAUAAACGACGGGCAAGUUAAAAUUUCAAACGUACGUUCGAUUAUACGAUUGUGACGACGAAUAAUAUUAUUGCUUCGUAUUAAAAUGUCCGUCACGUUUCCAAACCAAAAAUCUCGACGUCCCGAAUACUAAAUAUUAAUAGGUAAUAAUAAUAUGUCGUAUAGGUAGUAAUAAAAUAAUUACGAAAAAAAAUCUCAUUUACCACCUAUGUAUACGCAAUCCAUUUUGAAUAUACCUAUAUACACAUUGUAUUUAUAGUAUGGUCAGUUUUUCAUGGUCAAAAAAUAUGUAAAGACGUAAACGUAUAUUAGGUAAUGGUUUAUCGUAAUCGCGCAAAGGCUGCAUAUAAACGAGUAUAUUAUAAUUAUUAUUAUUAUUAUUAUUAUUUAUAUCAUUCGCAUAUUUUUUUUAUCCAGUAUGCGUACGUGAGCGUUAAAAUCGUCCGAUCGAGGUUAUAUUAGUAAAAAAUUCACUGAAAACUGUAUAUCUACUCAUCGCAUGGUCGAUGAUCGUUGUUUUUAUUGGUUCUACUAUGAAACAUGCAAGCCCGGAUUAAGAUGAUUUUGGGCCUGAGGCCAAACAAUUUUAGGGGUCCAUACACAUAUUCAAAAUAUUGGUGUUUAUAUAGUACUUUAUAUCAGCCAAGGCCAGAAGCCCACAAUAUUACGAUAUUCAAGGGCCUGAGGCCAUUACCCCCUCUCCCCCUUUAUCCGGGCCUGGAAACGUGUCCUUCAGUGCUAGGGUGCGAGGAUCCAGGAAGAGCACUGGGGACAUGUACUUCAUCCUGUUUGUCAAAAAAAAAAAAUUAUAAAACAAUUAUAUUUUUCAGAUUCAAAAUGUGACAAAGAAUAUAGUGGUUUUACAAAGAUGUUUUUUUUUUAUUACUGUGAUAAAAAUUUCUACCAGAAAUCUUGUUUCAAUAUGUAUGUGUGGCACCAUUUUUGAUAGAAAAUAUUGUCUGGAAUCUAGAUAGUACUUUAGGGAAGUAAUUUUGAUUUUCUAAGUAGUUUCCAUAAUAUCUGAGAAAACCCGGGAUAAAACGCAAGAAAAUUGGGAAAUUUAUGAAAAUAAUGUUUUUUAUUAUUUUUAAUUUUGUUAUUUGUUUCAAUUCAGGUAAAAAUAUUCGCAUGAACUUGAAAUUUGAACAGAAAACUUAUAAUUACCUUUUCUAGGAGCAAUAAAAUUUUAAAACAAUUUUGGCCAUUUUUGAGCUGUUUAUAGACAUUUUAAUUUUGCAAGUUUUUUACGUAAUUUUUAUUUUACUCUGUAGUAAAAUUGUUAGACUAAACAGAAAUUAUUUAACAGGAGGUUCAUUGAAGCCGUAAUUUGUAGUCAAAAAAAAAAAAAAAUAAUUAAGCUUAAUGUCAUUUUAAUGUAGUCAUUUUUUUUUUUUUUAUGAAUAAUAUUAAAUUUUGACAAAAAUUGUUAGAGUAAAAAUUAUGUGAAACAUUUCUAACUAUUCAUAUUUUUUUUGUUUCGUUACAAAGAAGUGAUUUUUUUUUAUCUGUGUAAAAUUUUUCUAUCAGCAAUUUUGCUCUAAUUUAAAAUGAUAGCAAUUAUUCUGAAAAUAAAUUUGACUGGGGAUGUAUUUUAAAGAGGAAAUUUUUCGAUUUCUCAACUAAUUUGAAAAACUAGGAAAAAAAACAUGGGAUAACUUGGAAUAACUUAAGAAAAAUGGGAAAAUCGGUACUUUAAACAAAUAUUAUUAAAGAAAAUAUAUAUAAUGUGUAUUUAAUUAUUUUACCAUAAUAUGAAAUAUAUAUUGUUGAUAAAGCAUCAAUAUCAACUAAACUCCGCUCAGAAUUAUAUUUUCGUUAGCAAUGGUUUAUUGUUGCUGACAGGUAUAAAUUAAAUUACUUACAAGAGUGGCUGCACCCGACCCCAUUCUUCUAAGACGUCUUUUUUAUUUUGAACUUACGUAUAUUGUCGAUUUAAGAACGAUAGUGAAGUCAAAAUUGAGUGGACUGACUUAUUUUUGAAAUUAUAGCUUUUUGAAGUUCAAAUAUUAUAUGGAUAUUAUGUGUGUUAUGUUAAAUAACUCAAUAUUGACUGUAUUAUUGUUUAUCUGUCGUAGUUUAGUGGUGGUACUGACAUGUUGUCAACCCAGAGAUCGCAAGUUCAAAUCCGAGUUCAGAAACAAAUGCAUUUUGGAUGCAUCUAGAGAUCCAAGUCGUCACUCACUCGGACUAUAUUAAUUGAAAAACACCCCUAGAUUUGCAGGGAAGUUUGCAACUUUUAUACCAGAAAUCUUGCUUCAAUAUAUCAAGUAUAGGGUGUAACAACUUUUCUAAAAGGAAAUUUCAUUAUAGUUUAGAGAGAUCAUUUUUUGAUUUUCCAUGUGGUUUUCAUAAUAAUUAGGAAAAAACCGAGAUAAAGUGUCGAAAAAACGGGAAAAUUUACGAAAAUAAUGUUUUUUUAUUAUUCAGUUGAACAUAUUCGUAGUGACUUGAAAUUUAGAUAGAAAACUUAUGUUUGCCUUUUCUAAACGUGGUAAAACUGAAAAAACAUUUGAGCCAUAUUUGAGCCAUUUAUAGACAUUUUAAUUUUGUGAAUAAUUUUUAUUUGGUAGGUCUCUGUUGAUAAAAUUUUCAGACUAAAGAAAAAUGCUUAAAAAUUUAACAGAAAAUUGAAGGAGGUUAAUUAUAAGCCAUAUUUUGUGGUCAAAACAAAAAAAAUUGAGUUUAAUGUAGUAUAUUUUUUUAUAAGAGUUUUGAAUAUAAAAUUUUAACGAAAAUAAUUUUAGUAAAAAAUUAUGUAAAAUAAAUUUAGUUACUGGUUUAUAGAAAUUAUUUCAAUAUAUAUUUAUUUUACUUUAAUAUGACAUCAAUAUUGUUGAAAAAUCAAUAUCAUACUAUUAAUUGAGCUCCUCUUAGAAUCGUUUUUCGUUAGUAAUGAUUAAUCUUUGCUUACAUUAAAUUUUCCUGUAUAUUCUAUGAACUUCAAAAAGCUAUAAUUUAGAAACUUAGUUAGUCCGCUCAAUUCUGACUUAACCAUUCUUUUUAAAUCAGCAAUACACAUAUGUUCGAAAAAAAUGAAAUUGAAUAAUUAGAUUUGUUCCAUAUAAUUUUUUAUUUAAUUUUCGUUAAAAUGUAGUAUCAAAAAUCCUUUAUAAAAUCAAAUACUACUAAUUCAACUCGAUUUUUUUUUUUUACUAUAAAUUACGACUUUCAAUGAAGCUCCUGUUAAAUAAUUUCUGUUUAGUCUAACAAUUUUACUACAGAGUUUGACCUACUGAAUAAAAACUACGUACAAAAUUAAAAUGUCUAUAAAUAGCUUAAAUUGGCUUAAAUUUUUUGAACAUUUUAUCAAUUCUAGAAAAAGUAAAUAUACAUUUUCUAUUUAAAUUUCAAGUCAAUAGACUCGAUAUGAAUAUUUAUAACUGAAUUUCCACAAAUAUAUUAAAAUUGUUUUAAAAAACUUAAAAAUUACUUAAAUGUUUUGAAAAUUUUACCACAACUAGAAAUGGCAAAUAUUAAGUUUUCUGUCCACAUUUCAAGUCUCUACGAAUAUGUUUAACUGAAUUACAAUAAAUAAAAAAUUUAAAAAUAAUAAAAGCAUUCAUUUUGUACAUUUUCCGUUUUUCUUAAAUUUUAUCCUGGUUUUUCUCAGAUAUUAAGAAAACCGCUUGGAAACUCAAAAAAUAGCCUCCUAAAAGUACCAUCUGGAUAACAUUCUCUUUCAGAAAUGUUGCCGUGCGUAUGUAUAUCUAAGCAAGUUUUAAGGUCGAAUUUUUGUACACUGGAUAGAAAAAAAAAAAAAUAAACAUCUUAGUAAAACAAAUACAAUCUUCGCUACACCGAGAAUCUAAAUUAGGUGCAAAAACGAUUUGAAAUAAUACAUUAAAAUUAACUCAGAUUUUAACAGAUAAUCGUAUGACAAAAAUCGUAAAUAUUGUGGCCUUUCAAAACAUGUAUAUAAUUGACCUUCGUGCCGAAUCCUUUGCUGUUUUUAAUUGUUUAUCAUUGUUUACAGAUAUAAAUUAAACAACUUUUUGUAUCCUACCUUCAUAACUUUCUACCUAACAACAGAGGCACACCCGUUCCUCUUUGUUAGCUGUUUUAGAUUCUGCGCAGAGCGAGGAAUGUAUUGGUUUUACAUUGAUGUUUAUUUUUUUUUCUUUGUACAACUUUUCUAUCAGAAAUUUUGCUCCAUCUUUUAAGGAUAGCAAUGUUUCUAAAAGGAAAUUUCAUUAGUGAUGUACCUUAAAUAAGUCAUUUUUCGAUUUUCCCCAGAAUUUUCUCAGCAAAUAUGAAAAACCGGAAUAAAAACAUGGGAAAACCUGGAAAAAAUGUAGGAAAACUGAGAAAAUCGGUAUAAUAUUAAACAAAUUUUAUUAAAAAAAAUUUACAAAGACUAUUUAAUUAUUAUUUUUUUUUACUAUACAAUUACAUUUAUAUUGUUAACAAAGCAUCACUAUCAACUGAAUUCCGUUCAGAAUCGUUUUUUCGUAAGCAAUGGUUUGUCGUUGCUUACAGGCAUGCAUUAAAUUAUCCAUAACAGUGGCUGCAACCCCUCCAAUCAUCCUAGAACGUCUUUUUAUAAAUACAUUUUUUAUUUAUGUAUUUAUUUACUAUAUGUAUGUACUUCAUUUUUUGACGAACCAUUUUAAUAAUUUUGUUUUUACUUUAUUAUUUUAUUAUUUAAAAAAUGUUUCCUAUUUAUACCGUUAGAAAUAUAUAUUUAUCCUUAUAUCAGGCUGUAUAUCAGUAUGGCAUUCUAGUUUGGGGAGAACUUACACAAAAAGUAAUUAAAACUCUACAAUUACAAGAAAAUAAAAAUCUCAGAAUACGUCUUAAUAAACUUAGUCUUGUAGGAUCUACGUUACAUAAUUAUAAUCAAUUUAAAGUUUUGCCUGUUACGUUACGUUACAGACAAUUUGAAAUUUUGUGGGUUAUAAAGAAUAUGGAAAAUUGGUAUAGCAUGGAUAGAAAUAACCAAAUUAAAAAAAAUAGUGCAUACUAUGUUAAAAUUAAAUUUAAGAAAACUUCUUUUAGACAAAGAUUUGUGGACUAUUUUUGUCCAAAAUUGUUUAAUGGGCUAAAUUAAGUCUCUAAAAAAAAAUUUAAUCAAAAAUUCUAAAUCCAAAAUGUGCGAAAUAUUUAAUAAAACAUUGGUUUUUUCUAUAGAAUAAGUUUUCUAUUUUCUAUUUUCUCUCUGUAUAUUUUGUCAUAUUUACUUUAAAUUCAGUGUCUCUAUGUGGUUAUUUUAAUAACUUAAGUCAAAAAUGUAUUAUUAUAUUAAUAUAUUUAUUUAAGUAAAUACAACUAAUUAAAUAAAUGUAUUUUAUUUUAAUUUUAGUUAGAUUAAGUUACUCUUAUCUAAUCUAAAUUUUAUCUUAAAUAAUUAUUUAUACAUUCUGCUAAGUAAUAUCUUGUUUUCAUGUAAGAGUAACAAAUUAUUUAUAAUAAUCUGUAAUCACAACUCCUUACCUUCACCACAAGCAUUGCUUAUAAAAGAUAGAUAUUUAAUCUAAGUGAGAACUGUAUACUUCGUGUUGAAUCUAUGUAUUUAUAAUAUUGCAUUGUAUCUACUUACUUGUGUACAUAUUUUUUCUUUGAUUUAAUUAUAAUAAUAAAAAAAUAAAUUGAUAUUUUCAGUGAAAAAUUAAUAAUCCUAUAACUGAAUGUAUGUUAACUUCUUUGUUAGAAAAAUAUACAAAUGUAAACCCUCUCUUCUGAAAUAUUUUUUUGUAAACGCACCUGCCGCCAGUGUUGGGCAUGAAAAUAAAUGUAUUAUUGUAUAAUUUACAAAUAAAAAUAUUUUUUAUCACUUUAAAAUGCAUUACCGACAAUACUAUAAUAUUAUGUAUAAAUGUAUAAUGUAUAUUUUACAUGAUGAAAAUAUUUUACUGUUAUAUAGGUAGCCCAGAAAACGAAGACGUGACAGUGAUAGACAUCGAAGAUGAUUCCGUGUUCGCCAACCGCAAUAAGAACGACGGCAAAAAGCACGUGCAUUUUUCGGAGGAGACCAUCACGGUGAUGAUACCCAAUCCACCCAAAGGGUUUUGUGAUUCGGUUAAAAAACUGUUGGAUUUCGUUUGCUGUUGUGGGUGUUGUUUUCCCAACUAUUUAUAAUAAUAAUAUUAUUUUAAAUUUGUAAUAAUAAGCUUUGUGAUAUAUAUUAAUAAUAACUAACGAUACUUAUAAUAUUUAUUUAUGUAUACCUAUAUAUAAAUGUAUAUUUGUUGAAUAUUAAUAAUUAAUAUACUGUAAUAAUCGUAUAUACUUAUAAUGGAUAAUAUACGUCAAUUGUUCGCCAAAAAGAGUUAGUGAGAUAAUUUUUUGCACAACAAUAGUUCAUGAGAAAUUAUUCAAAUACGAUCUAUACGUCAGUCUGUCAGUGACAACAUUAAAUUAAAAUCGUACUGCACAUUAACUGUAUGUUAUUGAACUUUAUAUAGAUUAUGCGAUAGACGAUAAUAUUAAUAGGUAAUUCUAAUACUCACAUCAUACAAAUUAUGCAACAUUCACGCAGUUAAUAUUUUGACCAGUAUUUUGUCCAUCUUAUUUUAUUUUAUAUUUUAAAUUAAAUUACUAUAGUUUUAAAAUAUAUCAAAUGUGACCGGGGUACCAUACAUUUUGAAAUUUAAACAAAAAGAUUUAUUUAAUUCAUACUUCAAAAAGAAGAAAACAUAAAUAAUUUGAAAAUUCAGCAGUAUGUUUUGGGCAAAAUUCAUAAUAAAACAAAUGUAUCAAAAUAAAAGUGAACAUUUAAAAAAAAUAUGUGCAGUAUAUAAUAACCGAACAACAAUUGAUUAUCUUCGUAGUGUUGCUUACAAUUUUCAAUUCCAAAUAUAAUAAUAGAAAUAAAAAUAUAAAAGGUAAUUAUUUACUAGCGAAUGCCAUCCGGGAUUGCCGGAAUGAUUUAAUUUUUAAUUUUUAUUAUGAAGUAUUUAUGCCAUGACAAUCUUUCAUUUGAAAUUGUGUUCUUUUUAUUUAUGUGUAUAUGCUUUUAUAUUAAUUCGUUAUUUUUAAUAGAUAAAUAAACAUUAACAUACAUAUUAAACAUAAAAACCCCUUUACUGGUUGAACGUUUUUAAAUAGAUAAUUGAUAAGUAUAAAAAAUGUCUACUAAAACUAUUAUAACUUUUUGACGAACAAUUUAUUGUACUCGAACGAUUGUCGCGCAAAUAAUCGUCGCGCGAACUAUUUUCGCCGAACAAUUGACGUGAUACCACAUAUAAUAUUGUGCAUAAUAUAUUGACGUGAUAUUAUAAUAUAUAAUUAUAUACUGUAAACUGUUAUAUCGCCGUUAUACGGCCACCGUGUAUUCUUUUAUUAUUUGUAAAUAUCAUAAUAAUAAUAUAAUAUUCGGAAACUGUUUUUGAAAUAAUAUUUUGUCAAAUUUUCCAAAUAAAAUACGUAGAAAUGCGA